UGUAUCGUCUUUUCGUUCUGCCUGUUUGUAAGUAAACCGCAGCGGUUUUGGGGUUCCUGCUACGGUAGGCGAAGGUGAAGCUGGAGGGUGGUAUCCUGCCACGGCUGAGGGUUCCCCCCUUCUCAAUUAUCAUAAUUGCCCCCCAACCCAACUCUAAUAAAUAUACUAAUGUGGCUACGUACGUGGACAAAAAGCAUUUUAGCGUCUCGGGGAUAAGCAAAUAAAACCGGUAUGCACGCGAAUCCUGUCCAUCUGGCGACAUCGCGUGCACCGAAAGCGACUGGCUCGUGACGCCUGGGUACGCGCCUGCGGUGAUGCUGCCUUAUAACAAAGCUAAAUGACGCCCGAUGCUAAAUUUAGCCCUGCAAACGCGUUCACCCACGUCAAAGUGGAAUUGUAGUAGAAUGUGACAUCUUCCGUUUUCUUGAUGCAAUUAUUUUAUCUUUCUGUGUAAUGGUUUCCUGAAUUGCACAAAACUGCUUUCAUGUAUAACUUUUUACCUUCAAUUUUUGUGAUUCGGUAAGGCCGCUUCAGUACUUACAUCUGUAUUUAGAAUAGCGUGUAAGGUAGAUGCAUUACUGUAAUUUGUCAAACACUGUUACUGUGUAUCAAAAAGUGAACGUGUUUUCCUGUGGAGAGCAAAAUAAAAGAUAUUAGAAGCGAU